UACGGAGGAUCCGAGCGUUAUCCGGAUUUAUUGGGUUUAAAGGGAGCGUAGGUGGAUUGUUAAGUCAGUUGCGAAAGUUUGCGGCUCAACCGUAAAAUUGCAGUUGAAACUGGCAGUCUUGAGUACAGUAGAGGUGGGCGGAAUUCGUGGUGUAGCGGUGAAAUGCUUAGAUAUCACGAAGAACUCCGAUUGCGAAGGCAGCUCACUGGACUGCAACUGACACUGAGGCUCGAAAGUGUGGGUAUCAAACAGG
rnacentral:rRNA from 1 species